GACGAACGCUGGCGGCGUGCUUAACACAUGCAAGUCGAACGGUGAAGGGGCCUGCUUUUGUGGGCCCUGGAUGAGUGGCGAACGGGUGAGUAACACGUGAGUAACCUGCCCCCUUCUUCUGGAUAACCGCAUGAAAGUGUGGCUAAUACGGGAUAUUCUGGGUCUGUCGCAUGAUGGGUCUGGGAAAGAUUGCGCCUUUGGGUGUUUUUGGUGGGGGAUGGGCUCGCGGCCUAUCAGCUUGUUGGUGGGGUGAUGGCCUACCAAGGCGGUGACGGGUAGCCGGCCUGAGAGGGUGGACGGUCACACUGGGACUGAGACACGGCCCAGACUCCUACGGGAGGCAGCAGUGGGGAAUAUUGCACAAUGGGCGCAAGCCUGAUGCAGCGACGCCGCGUGAGGGAUGGAGGCCUUCGGGUUGUAAACCUCUUUCGCCAGUGAAGCAGGCCUGCUCCGUGUGGGUGGGUUGACGGUAGCUGGAGAAGAAGCGCCGGCUAACUACGUG
rnacentral:rRNA from 1 species